AAAAAUAUAUACGUACAAAUAUGUUCAGCUUAGCAAAAAUUAGCAUUUGUGCAAUUUCAACACCAUCAAUAAAAAGAUAUUUGGCAGAAUAACGAGCGCCGCCCUCAAGUAGUGAUCAUAGUGUAAGCGCAGCAUUAUGAUCUGAAUAUUCGUAAGUAUGCAACUCUGUUUUUCAUACAUUUCGCAAAAUAUUCUACAGCAACAAGUGGGCGAAUUGCACGCGAAAAUAUAAAGGCAUCAUCAACAUAUAUGCACAAUUUGAAAGCUGACAAAGAGGAGUUUGCUGAAGCACAGAAGGCUGAUGUGAUUGCGACCAUCCCAUGUUGAAGAUAUCUGGGAUGUCGCCAUAUGGAAGGAUAUCUAUAAUCCCCUCGUUGCCGCUGCUAAGAGAUGUUUGUGUCAUCGAAGCUUUAAGUGACCUAGAGAAACCUACCUAUAAGAUAUGUGCAAGACAAUCGUUUGCAGCUGUUUGAAUUUGUGGGACGAAUGUUGGGCAAAGCGGUGUAUGGCCAGAUACAUCAAGCGUUGUACUCCUGUAUGGAUGAGCUGCCAUCAUUGGACAACGAGCUCUAUCGCAGCCUCACAUUCAUUAGCAUUAACUUGUCUGACUUGAAUUUAACCUUUUCGGUGGAUCAGGAGAUAUCAUGGGGAAAAUUGUAACGCACGAAUUGCAUCCCGGUCGGAAAGCUCGCGCGGUUACCGACCACAACAAACUGGUGAACACACAAAUCCGCGAACAGACGCAGGCCUUUAAUCGUAGUUUUCGCGUAGUGAUUUUUUUGCGUUACAUAUUCAAAAGUGUUUGUUACUAUAAUUCGGAUUAUGUUAUCGUUUUUCAAACAUUCUCCUUUAUGUACAAAAUAAUGUGGUUUACUUCCGCAGUUUUCUCAUUAAUGUUGUGCAAUUUAUUAUGUUUUGUAGUUUUAGAAAACUGGGAUAAAAAAUUUACAAAUUGUUGUAGUUGAAUGCCAAGAUAUAAUUACAAAAAUGGUUAAUAUGGGCUAAUUUAAUAAUUCCACAUUUCCCUAAUAUGGUUUUUGUACCAAAGAAAUAAAAUUUAUGUAAAUAGCAUUGUAAUGUAAUGUUUGUAUAUUUUACACAAUAUUAAUGCUAAUUGAACAUCUGGGAACUAUGUUGUGAGUGCAUAAGUAUAAAGCGAAAUUCAAUAAACUGAAUAUUAUCAAUGAAAUUA